rnacentral:rRNA from 1 species
AAUCAACGCUGGCGGCGUGCCUAACACAUGCAAGUCGGACGUGAAAGGGGUUUCGGCCCUGAGUAGCGUGGCGGACGGGUGAGGAACGCGUGGGUGACCUGCCCUGCAGAGGGGGAUAACCCUCCGAAAGGGGGGCUAAUACCGCAUGAGCCCGAGAGGGGAAAGACGGUGAGUCGCUGCGGGAGGGGCCUGCGUCCGAUUAGCUGGUUGGUGGGGUAAGAGCCCACCAAGGCGACGAUCAGUAGCCGGACUGAGAGGUUGGCCGGCCACAUUGGGACUGAGAUACGGCCCAGACUCCUACGGGAGGCAGCAGUGGGGAAUAUUGGGCAAUGGGCGAAAGCCUGACCCAGCAACGCCGCGUGAAGGAAGAAGGCCUUCGGGUUGUAAACUUCUUUUAUCAGGGACGAAGGAUGUGACGGUACCUGAUGAAUAAGCCACGGCUAACUACGUG